AACAUGUCUUUUUGAAUAUAAUUUAAAGUCUAAUYUGCUCCAUGAGGAUUUAAAUAGCUGCAGUAUACUGACUGUACAAAGGUAGCAUAAUCAAUAGUUUUUUAAUUAAAAGCUGGAAUGAAUGAUUUAAUAAGGUAGAUAUUGUCUCAAUUUUAUUAAAAUUAAAAUUUUUUUUUUAGUAAAAAUACUAAAAUAAAUUUAAAAGACGAGAAGACCCUAUAGAUUUUUAUAUUUUUUUAUUAAAAAAAUUUAAAAUAACUAAUAAUUUUUAAUAAAAAAAUAUUUGGUUGGGGAAAUUAUUAAAUUUAAUUAAUUUUAAUUAAUUUAAAACAAUAAUAAUUGAAAUAUUGAUCUUAUAAUUAUAAAUUAAUAGAAUAAAAUACCUUAGGGAUAACAGCGUAAUUUUUUUUGAGAGAUCUUAUUGAUAAAAAAGUUUGCGACCUCGAUGUUGAAUUAAGAUAAAAUUUUAAUGAAGAAAUUAAAAAUUUUUGGUCUGUUCGACCAUUAAAAUCUUACGU
rnacentral:rRNA from 1 species